CAACCCCAGAGAGCGCCUUUUCUCCCCUGUGGGUCAUUACGCAAUGUGUCUCCUUGCUUACCUUUCCGGUCUUCCCUGCACACACAUGAGCGGGGCUGUCAUUUGGCAGAUGGAGUCUCUGAGUUACGUCAACACCUUCCUCAGAGCCCGCUGCAGGCUCAGGCUGGGAGCUUUCCUUCUUGGAUGUUUAUUUUACCACACUGUAGAAACGCUGUUCACUUAGCUGUAUCAGCUGGAGUGUAAUUCCCAGCAACUUGUGGUACACUGUUCAUCCCACUGUAGUUUCCGAUCGUCCACUCCCCAGUUUAGACCACAGGUAGGUAUAGUUCUCUG
rnacentral:lncRNA from 1 species